UACGGAGGGGGCAAGCGUUGUCCGGAAUCAUUGGGCGUAAAGAGCGUGUAGGCGGUCCGGUAAGUCGGCUGUGAAAGUCCAGGGCUCAACCCUGGGAUGCCGGUCGAUACUGCCGGACUAGAGUUCGGAAGAGGCGAGUGGAAUUCCCGGUGUAGCGGUGAAAUGCGCAGAUAUCGGGAGGAACACCUAUGGCGAAGGCAGCUCGCUGGGACGUUACUGACGCUGAGACGCGAAAGCGUGGGGAGCAAACAGG
rnacentral:rRNA from 1 species